rnacentral:rRNA from 1 species
GAUGAACGCUGGCGGCGUGCUUAGCACAUGCAAGUCGAACGGGAAUUAUUUUAUUGAAACUUCGGUCGAUUUAAUUUAAUUCUAGUGGCGGACGGGUGAGUAACGCGUGGGUAACCUGCCUUAUACAGGGGGAUAACAGUCAGAAAUGGCUGCUAAUACCGCAUAAGCGCACAGAGCUGCAUGGCUCAGUGUGAAAAACUCCGGUGGUAUAAGAUGGACCCGCGUUGGAUUAGCUGGUUGGUGGGGUAACGGCCCACCAAGGCGACGAUCCAUAGCCGGCCUGAGAGGGUGAACGGCCACAUUGGGACUGAGACACGGCCCAGACUCCUACGGGAGGCAGCAGUGGGGAAUAUUGCACAAUGGGGGAAACCCUGAUGCAGCGACGCCGCGUGAAGGAAGAAGUAUCUCGGUAUGUAAACUUCUAUCAGCAGGGAAGAUAGUGACGGUACCUGACUAAGAAGCCCCGGCUAACUACGUG